UCGUGGUACGAGCUGUCUGGUUAAUUCCGAUAACGAACGAGAUUCUAACCUGCUAAAUAGUAUAGUUGCAAACAUCAUGUGGUUGUCCGGUGUAUUGCCCUCGUGGUGGUGCGCUUGGCGCUGCAUAAGCAGGUGAAGCUUCUUAGAGGAACUGGCGCUCAAAAAGACGUACGAGAGAGAGCAAUAACA
rnacentral:rRNA from 1 species